CCUACGGGUGGCAGCAGUAGGGCAUAUUGCUCAAUGGGGGAAACCCUGAAGCAGCAACGCCGCGUGGAGGAAGACGGUUCUCGGAGUUGUAACCCCUUUUUGUAGAGAAGAUAAUGACGGUACCUAUCGCAUAAUCACCGUCUAAAUCCGUACAAGCUGCCGCGGCAAGACGGCGGGUGCCAGCGUUACUCGGAAUCAAUGAGCGUAAAGCGCGCGUAGGCGGGUUAGCAAGUCAGAUGUGAAAGCCUAGGGCUUAACCAUAGAACUGCCUUUGAAACUGUUAUGCUAGAGUAUGGGAGAGGUAGGUGGAAUGCUUGGUGUAGGGGUGAAAUGCGUAGAGAUCAAGAAGAAUACUGAUUGCGAAGGCAGCCUACUAGAACAUAACUGACGCUGAUGCGCGAAAGCGUGGGGAGCAAACAGGAUUAGAUACCCCUGUAGUC
rnacentral:rRNA from 1 species